GAUGAACGCUGGCGGCGUGCCUAAUACAUGCAAGUCGAGCGAACAGAUAAGGAGCUUGCUCCUUUGACGUUAGCGGCGGACGGGUGAGUAACACGUGGGUAACCUCCCUAUCAGACUGGAAUAACUCCGGGAAACCGGGGCUAAUGCCGGAUAACAUUUAGAACCGCAUGGUUCUAAAGUGAAAGGUGGUUUUGCUAUCACUUAUAGAUGGACCCGCGCCGUAUUAGCUAGUUGGUAAGGUAACGGCUUACCAAGGCAACGAUACGUAGCCGACCUGAGAGGGUGAUAGGCCACACUGGAACUGAGACACGGUCCAGACUCCUACGGGAGGCAGCAGUAGGGAAUCUUCCGCAAUGGGCGAAAGCCUGACGGAGCAACGCCGCGUGAGUGAUGAAGGUCUUCGGAUCGUAAAACUCUGUUAUUAGGGAAGAACAAAUGUGUAAGUAACUGUGCACGUCUUGACGGUACCUAAUCAGAAAGCCACGGCUAACUACGUG
rnacentral:rRNA from 1 species